rnacentral:lncRNA from 1 species
GUAACUAAUUUCUUUCAUUCCUCUUCAUUCUCAAAUUGUAGCAAUAGCAGUAUAUUAUAUGAGAAUAUACAUUAUAAUUGUUUAUUGUGGAGCUCAUUCUAGCUACUAGCAAUAAAGCUUUCUAGAAAAACCCUUCAUUACAUUUAAGCUAGCAGAUAAUGAAGUGUGAAGAAUCUCUUCAGACACUGAGAUGUCUCUGAUGUACUUCAGUGUCCACGUUUGUUUCAGCUUCUCUACAUAUAUUUUCCCAAAAUAUUCUGCGCUAUACUUAAUGAAACAUUUUUAUCAGUCACUUAGAAUGAUUUCAUUUGAGACAAUCCUCCGUCAUAUUAAUAAUGGCAUAUAUUUUUUUGAAUCAGCAGAGGUUUUUAAUUUCUGGGCGUAGAACAAUACUAAUUCUCUGGCCCUGAGACGUUUUGGAAAUAUAAAAAAAGAAAUUUUUUAUAAAAGACAAUUGAAUGAAAUGCUAACGGGGAAAAAAAAUGUAACCUUUGAAUUCUAUGCCCAGCAAAAGAAAGGAUGGAAGAAGGAAGACAAAUUAUAGUCUUUUUCGGACAAACAACAACUGACAGUUUGUCGUCAAUGGACUUUUUAGGUGGGUGGGUGUGACUGGAGAUAGAGGUCUCUACAUAAAAAAUUGGAUACACAAGAAAGAUAGAAGAGCCAUAAGUGUGUUUCUAACCACAUGGUCACAAGAUAAGCAAAAGUUAACAGAAGUACAAGAAGAGAAAUCUACCAUCAGAGAGAUUACAAUGGUACCAAUACAGCAUUUGACAAAGGAAUGACUUGUGGAUGCAUAAUGCAAUUGGAAGUCUAACUGCAAAGCUCUUAGAGGGAUCUUGAUCAGAAGACACCGAUGGAAACCAUUAGAAGAGCUGCUAACACUCCACUCUGUCGGCCAUUCACUGGACUUCAGCCAGUUACUUGUGUAUUUAAUUUCAAAAGAGAUGAACAAAAUUAAGUUCAAAAGGCAAGAAAAUACUGUCAAGGACUGUUGAAAAGAACAAUUGUGAUCAAGGAUUUUAUAAUAUUUUUAGCUUUCUGAGAAUGGAACAGCCUCUUAUAACUACAUGGAUCCAUUGUUCAACUUUCAUGCAUUCAGUUUUCCCGACGGUUUAAGGAACAUGUUCGGUAAGGGAGCGGAGGCUGCCUGUGCAGUCACCAGAGAUCCAAAAUGGAAACCUCUCUCCGGAGCACAGUGUCUCCAAGGUGACGGGUUAAGCAUUGCUCUGGAGGCUUGACAGCAGAGAAAACGGGAAGGCCAUUGAGCCGCUGGCAGAAUUCUAAGGCAGAGAGGCAACUAAUACUUGUUGUGCACCUCCUGUGUGCCAGGCCCGUACCGGGGGCUCCUUCCACCCAGCGUGUACUGCCUUUCCUCUGGACUCAGAACUAGCCUUAAAACCAAUGCUGAAAAAGAGCCUUGGAGUCCUGAUGGCCAGAGCAUUAGCCAGCUUUUCCAUGUGGCCCAUGAGUACCACGAAUAAUAAUAUUAAUAUUAUUAAGUGAUAAUAAUAGUGAAUGUUCGUUGGCUGUUAACUAAUUGCUAGAUACUGUGCUAAGCAUUUUCUCUGGAUUAUCUCAUUUCAUCCCCACAAGAACUCUACGAGGCAGAGUUUUUCAGAUAAGGAAGCUGAGGCUAAGAGAGCUUAAAGAAAUUCCUAAAGUCAGGGAGGAGAGGAACUUGAAUGUGCGCACGGGAAGUCUGAGCCCAGGACGUAUCCACACAUCCACCACACUUCGUUGUCCAGAAGUGGGCCACACAAGGCAGCAGGGGGAAACAGGAGUGCCAAGUGGAUGGUCACUUCUGGAGGCAGCCUGGGACAGCAGAACAGUAGAGUUUGGGUUGGGUAAUACGCACCUCACAGGACUGCUGGGAGCAUUACCUGAGGUGCAGGGGGCCAAGCCAGUUCUCUCUGACGCCUUCUUUCCAAGGCAGAUAGAUCUCUCAAUGUUCCCCAGAGACAACUGGGGGAGCUUGGCCACUCCCACCACAGCCACAUGCACUUCUCUCUCAUCUUCCAGGCAGCUUGCCUCCUUCGCUGUCUUCUAAAAGGUCCCCUCUUUUCCAUCCUUUUCCCUGCCCAGCUGUGCCUUACCCUGCCAACACCACCUACAGGCAGUGCUGCAGCUCAGCCUUCAGGAACACAGGAAUGGCAGAUACCUCAUGGAGAAGCAAAAAGCAAUUAUUUGCAGCUAGCUUCCUUGGGUCAUGAUAUUGCAGACCCAAACUGGGUUCAGCCAGAAACGCCUAGGCUGUAGGCACACUGGCUCCAGGCAUAGAUCGUUGGUAGCCCAGCCAAUGGCCAAUUCCUGUCCCCAGGCCUCUACUAAUUUGCUGGCAGGCAUCAGACAACCAUGGGCUCUAGGAAAGACUACAGGACGAACUUGAUUUGCCCAAGCCAAUCGUGGUGAGUCCUUAGAACAGUGGUUGACUUACGAAGGGUCCUGUGCUGCAGUCCUGGCCAAGAAGUCAUGAGAAAUCUACCGGAAGCUCAAGGGAUGCAAGGAACAAAUGUCUUCUUCUGGGGACAGGGGAAAGCUUGGAGCUGCAGCAGCCAUUACAAAACCACUUAGCAACAAGCCUGAGGACAGAAGCCAACAUGCUGAAGUUGGUAGAGCAGGAAGGUGGAAUGAGCCUGGGUCCUCAAGUAUGUUUUGAAAGCAAUUGGCCAACCCUGGAGCUGCCUUACCUCCAUACUUCUUUUGUGUGAGACUUUCAGGCCCCUGGAGGACUGAGCCUUUUUCAGCUGCAUCUUCUCUAACACGCAGCCGAGAGCACUCUGACACAACAGACCAGCAGCAUCCAGCUGCCCUUGCCACCAAUGGGAUAGGUACCAGGUCCAAAUCUGCACCAGAAUGGGGGUGCCCUGGAAACUUUAGUCCAGUUAUUACUACCCCAGACCUGUGGACAAAAUGCAAGUAAGUGGGAAAUUAUAUAGUGAACUUUCCUUAAGGCCAGGAAAAGUGUCAAAGCACUUUACAAUCAAACCUAAUUGAAAACAAC